rnacentral:lncRNA from 1 species
GGACAGCAACUGGAAGCUGCACAACCAUCAAAGCUGAUGGGAAAGGCCCAUCUGCAUCCCAGGACUAGAUUAUUACAAAUGUGGCAUAUGAUGAAGGGCCAAUAGGAGAAUGAACCAAAUCCAUUUUCUAUCCCUCUGGGAAAACAAAACAAAACAAAACAAAACACCUCAAAAAACAUUCAAAAGUGGCAUUCUGUUGCAAACUUGUAGUAAACAUGAUUUACUGGGAGUCUGAAGAGACAGCAGGAAGGAGGACAUGUGCCCUACACCAUUAGAAGUGUUUAUAUCCACCAAAAUAGACAGAUCUUCUCCAACAAAAACUGUGACUUCUCCGCUCAUAAAGCCUGUGGCUACACCUCUUCUGAUAAGCUUGCCAUUGCCAUUACCUGUCUUCCAGCCCUGAGGCUAGCUGGCAUGGCCUGGCUACAUCCAUUCAAUCAAACUCCUUCAUAGAACAUCUAAACUGCCCUAGAAGAAAGGGUUCCUUGGGUCAUGUUUACCUCUAAACUUGUGGUGUGGGAUUGCUUGGGUGUGGGAUAGCUGUCCUGGACCUAAACCAUGCCAGGGACCAUUAUGAGCCUUUAACAGUAUAAACAGCUGAUACUAGAAUGCCUUCAGUUAAGAAGAGAGACAAACUGCACUUAUGUAUAUAUGCGUCUGCACAGAUGUGCAAACACUCCCUGUGCUUGGUGAAGUCUUAUUUCUCCAGUGUAGAAGACAGGUAGAAGAAAAACUUGUCAUUCUAUUCGGGAUUGAGACACUUAAAUGCUUACUGAUGUUUAAAUAUGCAUUGAGUGACUAAGUGCCUGUUACAGUAAUUAGCAUCAUAGUAAGUACAGUCAGUAGAAGCCCAAAAAGUAAUUCAGCUGAUCUACCUCUAAGAGAAAGAUCAGAGAAAAAGAGACAUCUAGUGCUGCUUCAAAUGUCCCCAGCAAUCAAAAACUUUGAUGUGAGAUGCUAGAUCUGACACAGCAUCUCCAGGAGAUCCUUGCCCUUCUGCAAAGUUCGCAAUUUGCCCACUAUAUCUCUGAUUGUCUGGGGCUUGGUCAUCAAUCUCACUUUGAGCAUUAGUCUCUACCUUGAGCUGGAUUCUUAUUUUUGCAAAAGCCAGUUUAUAUCCCCCUGGUAAUUCAAAGAGUGUCAAAAUAGCAAUACACCACAGCCUUCACUUAAAGGCCCACUUAACACUGGCAGAAUUACCUAUGGACAGGAAUCAAGACUAUAGAUAAUAUAUCAAGGUAAGAAA